AACGAACGCUGGCGGCAGGCCUAACACAUGCAAGUCGAACGAGAAGCCACCUUCGGGUGGUGGACAGUGGCAGACGGGUGAGUAACGCGUGGGAACGUGCCUUUCGGUUCGGGAUAACCCAGGGAAACUUGGGCUAAUACCGGAUACGCCCUUCGGGGGAAAGAUUCAUUGCCGAAAGAUCGGCCCGCGUCGGAUUAGCUAGUUGGUAGGGUAAAAGCCUACCAAGGCGACGAUGGGUAGGGGGUCCUGAGAGGGAGAUCCCCCCACACUGGUACUGAGACACGGACCAGACACCUACGGGAGGCAG
rnacentral:rRNA from 1 species